rnacentral:miRNA from 2 species
UCCCGACAUUAAAUUCUGGGC